rnacentral:rRNA from 1 species
GAUCAACGCUGGCGGCGUGCUUAACACAUGCAAGUCGAACGAAGUUUUUCUUUCGGGAGGAACUUAGUGGCGGACGGGUGAGUAACGCGUGGGUAACCUGCCCUGUACAGGGGGACAACAGCUGGAAACGGCUGCUAAUACCGCAUAAGCCCUUAGCACUGCAUGGUGCAUAGGGAAAAGGAGCAAUCCGGUACAGGAUGGACCCGCGUCUGAUUAGCCAGUUGGCAGGGUAACGGCCUACCAAAGCGAUGAUCAGUAGCCGAUCUGAGAGGAUGUACGGCCACAUUGGGACUGAGACACGGCCCAGACUCCUACGGGAGGCAGCAGUGGGGAAUAUUGCACAAUGGAGGAAACUCUGAUGCAGCGACGCCGCGUGAGUGAAGAAGUAUUUCGGUAUGUAAAGCUCUAUCAGCAGGGAAGAAAAUGACGGUACCUGACUAAGAAGCACCGGCUAAAUACGUG